rnacentral:rRNA from 1 species
GUGAGGAAUAUUGGACAAUGGAUGGAAAUCUGAUCCAGCCAUGCCGCGUGCAGGAAGACGGCCCUAUGGGUUGUAAACUGCUUUUAUACGGGAGCAAUAAGGUCUAUGCAUAGAUUGAUGAGAGUACCGUAUGAAUAAGCAUCGGCUAACUCCGUGCCAGCAGCCGCGGUAAUACGGAGGAUGCGAGCGUUAUCAGGAUCGAUUGGGUUUAAAGGGUGCGUAGGCGGCUUUGUAAGUCAGCGGUGAAAUUUUGCAGCUUAACUGUAAAAGUGCCGUUGAUACUGUGAAGCUAGGAUUUGGUUGCUGUGGGCGUCAUGUGUGGUGUAGCGGUGAAAUGCAUAGAGAUCACACAGAAUAUCGAUUGCGAAAGCAGCUCACAAAGCCAAUAUUGACGCUGAGGCACGACAGUGUGGGGAUCAAACAGGAUUAGAAACCCGAGUAGUCC